GGGGUAUAGCUCAGUUGGUAGAGCGCUUGAUUUGCAUUCAAGAGGUCAACGGUUCGAACCCGUUUAUCUCC
rnacentral:tRNA from 1 species